UACGGAGGGUGCGAGCGUUGUCCGGAAUCACUGGGCGUAAAGGGCGCGUAGGCGGGCUGUCAAGUCUGGGGUGAAAUCCCACGGCUCAACCGUGGAACUGCCUUAGAUACUGACGGCCUCGAGGGAGAUAGGGGCGAGCGGAACUGUGAGUGGAGCGGUGAAAUGCGUUGAUAUUCACAGGAACUCCGGUGGCGAAGGCGGCUCGCUGGAUCUUUUCUGACGCUGAGGCGCGAAAGCUAGGGGAGCAAACGGG
rnacentral:rRNA from 1 species